rnacentral:rRNA from 1 species
CCUACGGGGGACAGCAGUGAGGAAUAUUGGUCAAUGGGCGGAAGCCUGAACCAGCCAAGUAGCGUGCGGGAUGAAGGCCCUACGGGUUGUAAACCGCUUUUGCACGGGGAUAACACCCUCCACUUGUGGAGGUCUGCAGGUACCGUGCGAAUAAGGGCCGGCUAAUUCCGUGCCAGCAGCCGCGGUAAUACGGAAGGCCCGAGCGUUAUCCGGAUUCAUUGGGCUUAAAGGGAGCGUAGGCGGGCGUUCAAGUCAGCUGUAAAAUCGCGCGGCUCAACCGCGCCCCGCAGUUGAAACUGGACGCCUUGAGUUCACAACAGGCAGGCGGAAUUCGUGGUGUAGCGGUGAAAUGCAUAGAUAUCACGAGGAACCCCGAUUGCGAAGGCAGCCUGCCGGGGUGCGACUGACGCUGAGGCUCGAAGGUGCGGGUAUCAAACAGGAUUAGAUACCCGGGUAGUC